CGUGCUUAACACAUGCAAGUCGAGCGGUAAGGCCUUUCGGGGUACACGAGCGGCGAACGGGUGAGUAACACGUGGGUGAUCUGCCCUGCACUUCGGGAUAAGCCUGGGAAACUGGGUCUAAUACCGGAUAUGACCUCCUAUCGCAUGGUGGGUGGUGGAAAGAUUUAUCGGUGCAGGAUGGGCCCGCGGCCUAUCAGCUUGUUGGUGGGGUAAUGGCCUACCAAGGCGACGACGGGUAGCCGACCUGAGAGGGUGACCGGCCACACUGGGACUGAGACACGGCCCAGACUCCUACGGGAGGCAGCAGUGGGGAAUAUUGCACAAUGGGCGAAAGCCUGAUGCAGCGACGCCGCGUGAGGGACGACGGCCUUCGGGUUGUAAACCUCUUUCAGCAGGGACGAAGCGCAAGUGACGGUACCUGCAGAAGAAGCACCGGCUAACUACGUGCCAGCAGCCGCGGUAAUACGUAGGGUGCAAGCGUUGUCCGGAAUUACUGGGCGUAAAGAGUUCGUAGGCGGUUUGUCACGUCGUUUGUGAAAACUCACAGCUCAACUGUGAGCCUGCAGGCGAUACGGGCAGACUUGAGUACUGCAGGGGAGACUGGAAUUCCUGGUGUAGCGGUGAAAUGCGCAGAUAUCAGGAGGAACACCGGUGGCGAAGGCGGGUCUCUGGGCAGUAACUGACGCUGAGGAACGAAAGCGUGGGUAGCGAACAGGAUUAGAUACCCUGGUAGUCCACGCCGUAAACGGUGGGCGCUAGGUGUG
rnacentral:rRNA from 1 species